CCGCUGAGGGGGUUACCGAGGCAGAGGAGAGGAGGCUGCGGGCAGACCUUGUUGUUCUCUACUGCUGCCUGACAGGAGGCUGUGGCGAGGCGGGGUCGGCCUCUUCUCCUGAGUACAGCGAUGGGGUGAGAGGCAAUGGCCUCGAGGUGCACCAGAGGAGGUUCAGCAAAAACACUUCUUACAGGUCCAUUCAAUCUCCCUCCAGUUAACCUCUCCUCCCUCUUGCCACUGACAAUUGAGAAUGCUUAGGAUCCCCUCACACAGCCUGGGAAAGGACAACUGAUCUGCCUUCCACUGCCCUUAAUGAUGUGGAUAAGGGUACCUGCAGUAGACCCAGCAUGAUUUUGCAGAUCCUGGGUGCUCUCGUGGAUGCUUCAUUUCAUCUGUCUGAAACUUCCACCUGCUCUGUCUCACUUGGAGGUUGGCAUUCAGAAGAAACCCAUAAGACAAAGGAAAAAAGCUCAGCUGGACCCCCCGUACUGAGUCGUCUGCGUGAUAUUUGGCCCAGCUGCACGAAGGGGGCAGUCUGCUCGUAGCCAAACCC
ensembl:lncRNA